GGUUUAUUAAAAUUACAGCGCAGCCAUAACAUACAUUGCUGAAUUACAUAAUUCACACAUUCAAUUAUUCCAUGUUCUAUUCUUGCAAAUAUUUCAUUUGCAGAUGAUAAUACACAAGUAUUUAAUUAAAAAUCUGUUUGUAUAAUUUAUCAACUUUGCCAUUAUUAAUAACGAAAAUGAACAUGCACUUAUACUGUAUAUAUUUACAAUAAACAAUUAAUAUAUUACAUAAACGAUUAUUUAAAUAAAUCACUUAUUAACAAACUAACUAUAUAUAUAUAUA